rnacentral:lncRNA from 1 species
GAGCUAGCCGAGCUGGCUAACCGGGCAGAGCUGCCCCUGAGCUGGUCUGUGUCCAGCAAACUGAACCAACAUGCAGAACUGGAGACGGAAGAGGAAGAGAAGAACCCGGAAGAACUGACAGAGAGGAAUGGGUGAUGCUGGGCUCCUAGUGUGGACCGAGAAGUAUUUCUCCUAAUUCCAUCCUCUGAAAGACAUUACAGAGAACUGAUAUAUUUUCCUCCCUAACUGCUUGGAAGAAUUCACCCAGAAUGAACCCAUCUGGACCUAGUGCUUUCUGGUUGGGAAGGUCAUCAAUAAUUUACUUAAAGUCGGGGCUGGAGAGAUGAGGCGGCGGUUAAGAUGGCUUAUUGUUCUUACAGACAGCCUGGGUUCAGUUCCCAGUGCACACACGGUGGCUCACAAUCACCUAGAACUCCAGUUCCAAGGGACCUGGCACCUUCUUCUGGCUUCCAUGGGCUACUGCAUGCGUGGGAUGCACGUAAGCUCACACAGGAAUCCAGACUCGUGCGCAUAAAUAAAAGUAAACGAAACUUUG